AUUGAACGCUGGCGGUAUGCUUAACACAUGCAAGUCGAACGAUGAGAAAGAGCUUGCUCUUUCGAUUAGUGGCGGACGGGUGCGUAACGCGUAGGAAUCUACCUAUUAGUGGGGGACAACUUAGGGAAACUUAAGCUAAUACCGCAUACGCCCUACGGGGGAAAGAAGGGGAUCGCAAGACCUUUUGCUAAUAGAUGAGCCUGCGUAGGAUUAGCUAGUUGGUGGGGUAAAAGCUCACCAAGGCGACGAUCCGUAACUGGUUUGGGAGAAUGAUCAGUCACAGUGGAACUGGGACACGGUGCAGACUCCUCCGUGAGGCAGCAGUGGGGAAUAUUGGACAAUGGGCGAAAGCCUGAUCCAGCAAGACGGCGUGUGUGAAGAAGGCCUUAGGGUUGUAAAGCACUUUCAAUUAGAAGGAAAACCUCGAAGCUAAUACCUUCGAGUUUGACAUUACCUUUAGAAGAAGCACCGGCUCACUCCGUGCCAGCAGCCGCCGUAA
rnacentral:rRNA from 1 species